AAAAUCGCAAGCAGCAGCCACAGUCGCAGCCGCAGUCGCAAGCAGAGCAGCAAGCAGUUGCAAGGGCGCCGCCUCCGUCGAUUAACCCAUUGGUGCCCCACUGGGUGACCAGCAUGACCGUGUUGCUCGGCAAAUCCCUAGUCGCUGGAAUGGACAACUGAAUUCCCCGGUGUUUUCCCACUCGGACCUAACCUCACUUAUCUUUAUAUAAACUCGUAUACCGCACGUGCUUGGGCAUGGACUAAAAACAAAAAGGAUACUAGGAAACACGCAACAACACUAGGACCUACAAAUAAAAAGAACAAAAAAAAAACACACCCAAACGCAAGAACAACGACUUGAAUAACGGUAGCCCAUUGGUUGGGACUUGAUCCAAACUGGCCCAUCAAUUUUGGUUUUCCUACCCGCCACCGGGCGCUGGCGGCGGUUCCUCAACCAGUUUCAAGCGCAUAAGGAAUAAAGCAUAACAAAUACAAAAAACAAACAAAAAUAAUAUCUGAAGACAUUAAUUGAAAACAUUUAAUAAACAUCCUGAGAUUGAGAUCGUUUCCUCUCUCUCUCUCUGUCUCUCUUUCUCUGUCUAUCUCUCUCUAUCUUGGUCUCUCGCUGUCUCCUUCGCUGUCUCUAUCUCUUUCCCCAAAAAGACACACACAAACACUCCGCACUCACCCAACGGUACUUCCAACGGACUCCAAUUCCAAUCGUUUCGGUACGUGCCGUGAUCGCGUGUUCAAAACUAUCGAAAUUAUUCAAAUAAAAUCGAAUAGAAAAAUAUUGAAAGUAAAUCGACACGAAAAC